rnacentral:rRNA from 1 species
AUGGCUUUGGAAGAAAGCGCUACUACAAGUGGCAUGAUAAAACUUGAUUCUUCCAAUUACUCAUUAUGGAAGCCCACGAUGGAAGACAUCCUUUAUUGCAAGGAUUUGUAUGAGCCAAUUGUGAAAGACAAGAUACCCACGGGUGUCACGGAAGAAGAAUGGAGAGUGUUGCACAGAAAGGCAGUAGGUAUGAUUCGGUUGUACAUCAACCACAAUAUUUUCCACCAUGUUGCAAAUGACACAAAUGCAUAUGAGAUGUGGCAGAAGUUAGAGUCCAUGUAUGAGAGGAAGACAUCAUUGAACAAGGCCUCGGUGAUCAAAAGACUUGCAAAGCUUGAGUACCGAGAUGGCACAAGUGUGAUUGAGCACUUGAAUGUCUUCCAAUGCCAUAUAAAUCAACUUUCAGCCAUGAAGAUCAACUUUGAGGAUGAGGUGCAAGCAUUGUUGCUGCUGAGUUCCAUGCCUGAUAGUUGGAACACGCUUGUUGUGUCACUUAGCAAUUCAGCUCCGGAUGGGAAGCUGACUUUGGAGAUGGUGAAGAACAGUAUGCUGAAUGAAGAAGCCAGAAAGAAGGAAAAGGGUGAUGCCUCUUCUUCUGAUGCGUAUGUGGCUGAAACCCAUGGGAAGAAUGAGAACCGUGGACGCAACAAUACAAGAUUUCAGCAAGGCAAAAGCAAAUCCAGGGGGAGAUCAAAGUCAAAAUAG